UACGGAGGGUGCAAGCGUUAUCCGGAUUCACUGGGUUUAAAGGGUGCGUAGGUGGGCUGGUAAGCCAGUGGUGAAAUCUCCAGGCUUAACUUGGAAACUGCCAUUGAUACUAUCAGUCUUGAAUACCGUGGAGGUCAGCGGAAUAUGUCAUGUAGCGGUGAAAUGCUUAGAUAUGACAUAGAACACCAAUUGCGAAGGCAGCUGGCUACACGAAUAUUGACACUGAUGCACGAAAGCGUGGGGAUCAAACAGG
rnacentral:rRNA from 1 species